GAAGUAAGUGAUUUUGUUACUUAAAUUAGGGUUUAUUUUUGUUAAACAUGUAAAUUUUAGUAUGUCUAGUUGUAUUUAUUAAAUAUAAAUAUAUAUUUUAUUUUUCAGUUUUUAGUAUUAUUUAUUUUAUAUCUAAAAUUAUAGUAAAAAAUUUGAUUGCUAACAAAUUUUAGUGCCAGCAGUUGCGGUUAUUCUAAUAGUAUAAUUCUAAUUUUUUUGGUCAGGUAUUAAUUUUUGAAUAUUUUAAUAAUUAUUAUUUUUAUUAAGUGAAAUUUUAAAUAUAAAUUUGUUAAAGGUUUAAUAGUAUAUUAAAUUUUAAUUUAAAACUAGGAUUAGAUACCCUAUUAUUGAAAGUUAAAUUUUUGACCUUAUUAUUAAAAGUUAAAUUCUUUAAAAUAAAUGAAUUUGGCGGUAACUAAUUAAUUUUUUAGAGGAACCUGCCCUGUGAUUGAUAAACCACGAGUAAUUUUACUUUUAUUUAUACUUAUAUAUCUCUAUCAUUGAAUGUUUUAUUAGAAUAUUUUCGUUAAUUAUUUUAUAUUAAAUGUUAGGUCAAGGUUUAGUUGUAUAAAAGUAGAGGUGGGUUACAUUAAUUUUAAUUUUGAAUUUAGAGUUUUGUAAUUCUUACGAAAUUGGAUUUAAUUGUAAUUUUAAUUUUAUUAUUAAAAUGAAAUUUUUAAAGUUAUGUACAUAUCGCCCGUCACUCUCAAACAUUGGGAUAAGUCGUAACAAAGUAGGGUUACCGGAAGGUAAUCCUGGUAAGA
rnacentral:ncRNA from 1 species